rnacentral:rRNA from 1 species
GAUGAACGCUGGCGGCGUGCCUAAUACAUGCAAGUCGAGCGAACGGACGAGAAGCUUGCUUCUCUGAUGUUAGCGGCGGACGGGUGAGUAACACGUGGAUAACCUACCUAUAAGACUGGGAUAACUUCGGGAAACCGUAGCUAAUACCGGAUAAUAUUUUGAACCGCAUGGUUAAAAAUUGAAAGACGUUCUUGCUGUCACUUAUAGAUGGUUCCGCGCUGCAUUAGCUAGUUGGUAAGGUAACGGCUUACCAAGGCAACGAUGCAUAGCCGACCUGAGAGGGUGAUCGGCCACACUGGAACUGAGACACGGUCCAGACUCCUACGGGAGGCAGCAGUAGGGAAUCUUCCGCAAUGGGCGAAAGCCUGACGGAGCAACGCCGCGUGAGUGAUGAAGGUCUUCGGAUCGUAAAACUCUGUUAUUAGGGAAGAACAUAUGUGUAAGUAACUGUGCACAUCUUGACGGUACCUAAUCAGAAAGCCACGGCUAACUACGUG